AAAGCAUUGUUUGAUACCAGGUAUAUUGAGGGUAAAUCGAUAAUUAUAUUUAAAUGAAUAAUUUAACUAUCUAAUCAGGAUGAGCUUCUGUGUCUGUCGAUUGAUUUACUUUGAUUAAUAUGGUCUGCAAUGAGUACCUUUGAACUGUGAUAUUUCUUCAAACCUUUCAGGUCAAAUAUUCAAUGUAUAUUUUUGUAUCUUGUUUUCUUUUUAUGGUUGUAAAAUAUGUAACACUGGAUUCAUAAUUGGCUGUAAAUUUGCUUUGGAGCUUUUUAUAAGAGCUACAAUAUUUAAUUUCACAGUAUUUUGAUUGUGUUACCAAGAAUUGAUCUGGGGGAGUCCUGUAGUUAUACAGAAUAAAAUGAUGGAAAUUUUCCAAAUGUCCACUGUUUUGUCGUGUAGUUUUACCCUCAUAAUGUCCAUGUCAAAUCAUGUUGGUCUUGUCAUUGGGCAGGAUAAACCCUCAGAGUUGACCAAUCUAGUAUAUAGUGGUCUGUGUGGAUGGAUGUCAUCAUUUGAUUGUUUAAACAUGUUAAUUAUUAUUUGAAUGCGACAAAGUUUUUACAUUGAUUCAAUAAAAAUAUACGAUACCU
rnacentral:misc_RNA from 1 species